GGGGUAAUUUCUCAAAAAAUACGAAAUGAUCGACUUUUGAGACCUUUGUUACGGACAGACUAGCUCUGGUCCACGCGCUUGCGGCAGUAUGUGUAUCGCUAUGGGCGCCGCCAUAUUGUUGUCGUCGGAAGCAGGAAGUUUACACACCAGCGCUGAUCUCCUGAAAGGGAAGAAUUGUCUGCAACCAGCCACUGUCACAAGGUGGAACUCAACUGAAAAUGAUUCUCUCAAUGCGGAUGAAGAAAAGCAUAACACACUGCCUGUCACCAAGCUAUCCAUGCACAAGAAGUAUAUCAGUGCUGAUGCUGUGGACAUCCUAACCCCCUUUGAGUUUGCCACAGAUUGUGUGCAAGGAUCUGAUAUCAUCACAGCCAGCUACAUCAUUUCAUGCAUCAGAGGACUGACUAAACAUCUCACCAAUUUGUUUACCAGGUACAACAAAAAGCUUGUCAAAAACCUGAAAGAUGUCGUUGAGAAGUGCUUGACUGUUUAUGAGCAGAAGAAGCCGCACAAGAUUACCUCAGUCUUGGAUCCACGCUUUAAACUGGCAUGGUGCAAUGCCACUGAGAAGACUGCCCUUACUGCAGACAUCAACGAUCUGGACAAAAAGUUCACCAGCACAACAUAG
rnacentral:lncRNA from 8 species